ACGACUGAGACCUUGGCCGUUGAGCGAUCACUCUCCCCGACGUCCUCCGAGAUGGGAUAUAAAGACGGUUGCCAACGUGUGGAAUCCUCACUCGUGCGUCGUCCUGACUGAGGAGCCAGCAAUCGCUGAUCAAUCGUCGAUGAUUCCUCUCGAUCCACAGCAUUGGAACGAUAACAAUGACUAAAUAUAGAGAAAAUCAUUU